GAUGAACGCUGGCGGCGUGCUUAACACAUGCAAGUCGAACGGAAAGGCCCAAGCUUGCUUGGGUGCUCGAGUGGCGAACGGGUGAGUAACACGUGGGUGAUCUGCCCUGCACUUUGGGAUAAGCCUGGGAAACUGGGUCUAAUACCGGAUAGGACCAUCGUCUAGUGUCGGUGGUGGAAAGUUUUUCGGUGUGGGAUGAGCUCGCGGCCUAUCAGCUUGUUGGUGGGGUAAUGGCCUACCAAGGCGUCGACGGGUAGCCGGCCUGAGAGGGUGUACGGCCACAUUGGGACUGAGAUACGGCCCAGACUCCUACGGGAGGCAGCAGUGGGGAAUAUUGCACAAUGGGCGCAAGCCUGAUGCAGCGACGCCGCGUGGGGGAUGACGGCCUUCGGGUUGUAAACUCCUUUCGCCAAGGACGAAGCGUUUUGUGACGGUACUUGGAGAAGAAGCACCGGCUAACUACGUG
rnacentral:rRNA from 1 species